UGUCAGGUGUGAACAGGAGAGGAACAGUGA
rnacentral:piRNA from 1 species